rnacentral:misc_RNA from 1 species
GCGAAAAGGCAUAAAUCUUGCAGUUCGUGAUCUUGGUAGCAGCGAUCCUUAUGUGAUCAUCACCAUGGGACACCAGAAACUGAAGACUAAAGUGGUGAAAAGAAACUGCAAUCCUGAAUGGAAUGAAGAACUAACUCUUUCCAUCACAGAUGUCAAUGCUCCAAUAAAAUUAGAAGUUUAUGAUAAAGACACAUUCACUGUCGAUGACAAGAUGGGCGAUGCAGAAAUUGACAUCAAACGAGUCUCAAGAUGGGCUUGAAAAAUCUCCCAAAUGGUUGUGUAGUCAAGCGAGUUCAGCCAAGCAUGAACAACUGCCUUGCUGAUGAGAGCUGCAUUGUUUGGAACAAUGGCGAAAUCACCCAAGACAUGCUUUUUAGAUUGAGGAAUGUAGAGAGUGGUGAAGUGGAGGUUCACCUUAAGUGGAUUGAUGUUCCAGGUUGCAAGGGGUUGAAACUUGAAGGUAUCAGCUAAACAUAUUCGUCAUAUAUUUGUGACGUUUCCACAGAUUCAAGCUUCAUGACCUUGCUUGAAAUGAGAUUAAUUACUCUUUUGUAAUAAACAAAAAGAGAUUUGUAGAUAUCUAUGCUCCAACGUGACAGUGAGAAUCAUGGCGCACAUAAUGGGAGGGCUAUACCUAUAUAUGGUUAGUUUCUCCCCUGAAAACUGCCUGUGCAAUAUGUAUCUUAUUUUGCUUAUAACCCUUCGAAUCUGCG